rnacentral:misc_RNA from 1 species
AAAAAAAAAAGAUUUGCGGUGGGCUCCCCCCUGCCUAAAGGAUUGUUAAACAGCGUCUAUUUUUCAUUCGCUGAUAUAUCAUUUAUGAAUGAUAAAUGUGUGUUUAGAUAGAAAAAAAGUCUUCGAAGCAACGAGAACAAACGAGUUUGGGAGAGAAACUUUGAAAGUUUAGAGGGAUCUCUUCGGAAAAAAAUGAGGCGCAAGAGCGAAAGAAACAAGGGGAAAGCGUCCCCGGAGAAGAAAGUGGAGAAGCCAACGAGAAAAUCAACACGAAGAAGAGGCAAGAGGUCUCCGUCAACAUCGCCCGAUCGAGAAAACAGCAAUGACACAGUUGCAAUAAUGGCACGUGAAAAUGAAGGCGAAACAGCGUCUCAGUCGCAUUUAGCGGGUCGAGACAUUGAGAAAUUAAAUGAAACAGCGAAGAGUAGCGUAACUUCAACAGAAAUUUCAAUCAUCAAGGAGGAGGAGGAGCAAACUACAGAGGCUGGCUCAGUAUGGAAAGUGGCUAGAGCAGAUGCGUCACCUGGAGAGAUACAGAAAUUAAAAUUAUGCAGACAGCGCAAUAUGUCAGAAACAUCGGAUGCUUCGUCGAGCAGGAAGAGAAGUAGCAAAUGGCAUGAGGGCAGCGAAGGUAUAACGGAGGAGAUUGAUUCAUCCGAUGAGCGUACGACGGUGGGCUCAUCAAAGACCACCGUUGAGGAUGCUCCAAGGACCGAAGAGAACACCUCCGUUGUACAAGGUCGGGACUCCAGCGAAGAGGUAAGUGAUAGCAAGGAGUUCCCGCCCGAAAUCGCAACAGCCGAAUUGUCUGACGUGAAACCAAACAUAGAUUACGUGGAUCAAGGUGAGACGAGCCAGACGACUAUUGUUAUUAACGCGAAUGUGCGUCAAGAUGAUGCUAAACCGAGCGAUGCUAUUCCUGAGCCAAGCGGUGGCGAACUGAAGUCGAGCGUCAACGAGAAUCCUGACGGAAACAAGCACGAUGAGGAACAAAUCUCCAACGAAGCGGAGACCGAGAGGCAAAUUGAGAAGGAAGCUGAGAAGGAGAAUAAGGAGAAAGAUAACAUUGAGGAUCAUAUAAAUACGGAGAUCAAAGUCGUCCCUAAUGACCAACAAACUUUUGAUCGUUGUUCCAAAAACGAGAAUGAAACGAGCCUUGAAGAAAGUGCUAAAACAACCGACGAUAACAAUGAUCUUCGAGAUUCCAAAGAAUCCAGCAGCGACGAGAACGAACUCGAACAUGAAAAACGUCGAGACAUCGUUCCAUUAAAGAGACAACGAGACGAUACUUCCGACGAUAAUUCUGAGGAUAACGAUAAAAAAGAAAAAGUUACUAAAGCACCUUUGCCACGUACAACCAGCAGGAGAAAGCAUCGGGACAAAUAUCGCGAUUCGUCCAAUUCCGAUACCGGCGAAUCCGAGGACGAACCCGAACGAGAUAACAAGAGAAGUAAGAGGAACGUCCUCGAGGAAUCUCGUUCUACCAGAGAUCACUCGCCCAACAUCGAAGAAUCCAAUUACAAUAAAGAUAUUUCACGAACGCCCGAGAUUCGACCGGAGUCACCGACUCGCAACGAUAUUCCUACUGAUAAUGAAAGAAAAAUCGUUGAGAAUGAUAAGUCCAAGACGAACGAUGAUAAUGAACGAAUCGAACAAAUUCCUGCAGCUAAUGCUACUGUUGUACAGGCACAAACUAAUUACAAACCUGCUAAAGUCAACUUGAAGAGAUCAUUCGCUGCUAGACCAUCGGUAGAAUCCGUGGAAUCAAAGAAAAAUGCUCCUGAUAAUGAGGCCAACGAUCUUGCCAAUCAAGAUAAGGAGAAUCACGCGAGCGGCGAGCAAAAUGAUGUUAAGUCCAUUCCAAAGAAACGCCGUUGGGGAACGAUUCUCACACCAACCGACCCUACGCCAGCAUUUUCGGUUUCAACGGAAUCUCUCAAGGUUCUUGUACCAGGCGCCAAGCCCCUGCCCAUCAAUGAGGUUCGUCUCUCGAAGGACGACGACGAGGAGCGAGAUCGUCGAAAUCAACGAGAGAAACGUUACAGUACGAGUGAAUCUGGUACAGAGCAUAAAUCACGCGAUGAUGAAAAACCGAAGAACGCGGAAUCAAAGAAAGAUUCUAAAGGAGACAAUCACAUCGUUUCAAGGCGGAAAAUCUCCAUUGUGAAGGACACGCAACACGCCAAAUCUCCGAGUCCUCCUGCCGCUGUACCCACGAGCAUACUUCUUAUUAAAAAUCUGGUUCGACCCUUUACUUUGAAUCAAAUUCGGGAACUUUUGUCGCGUACUGGAACCAUCGUAGAAAAUGGGUUCUGGAUGGAUCGCAUUAAGUCGAAGUGUUUUGUAGAGUAUUGCAACGAGGAUCAGGCGUUUGAGACGAGGCAAGCCCUUCAUGGAAUAUCGUGGCCAGUAUCAAAUCCAAAAAAAUUAAUAGUAGAAUACGCCACAAAGGAAGACAUGGAAAUGGCACGCGAGCUUGCGAAGGAUCAACCCGCGUCACGGAAAACUGAGCCACUGGCGGUGAACGAUGGAUGGCAGCAGGAUUGGGCCCGAGAUGAGAGAACGAAUUCCACGACGAAGGUAACGGUCGUCAGGGAAUGGGAUUUAGGCAAGGAGGAUGGUCAACAUUUUGCAAAGGAUAAGGAGCGCGAGAAGAAGGAGCUUGAAAAAAAGAGACGGCAAAGGAGUCGAAGUCCAACGUUAGAAGCACACCUUCCAGCGCCAGCUCGAAAAUUCAAAAAGAAGGAAGAUGAUCCACCACCUGCGAAGCUACUUGAUGAUCUUUUCCGAAAAACCAAAGCUACACCGUGCAUAUAUUGGCUACCACUUACCAAUGAGCAGAUCGUGGUGAAGGAAGAGAUGCGGAGACAGCACAUGGCAGAACACGCUCGUAGACUGGAGGAAAUGAGACGCGCAGAAAGGAAUCGUGAUGCGCGUCGUCGCCGCAGUCCACGAAAAUAAAUACAAUCCACACGUUUUUCCUCCUUCUCCUCUCUGAUUUUCUUUGCACCCUCGGUUUUAUAUUAUACGUGCCGUCAAGUGGGGAGGGGUCAAAGAAAUAUUGGUCAUCGUCGUCGAGACGAUUCAGGGCGAGGGGAUGAUCAACGGAGAUACUAUACGAUCUUGAGUCGUCCACGUACGCCUCUCUGACAUUCGUCAUUGGCGCCACUAAUACGAAUUCUCUGUGGUUUGACGGAGGACCGCUAUUGAUUAUUACGAAUAAUCGUAAUGCAGCGAGCAACGUGGGAUUCUAUAAUAUAAAGAGAUUAUAUAUUGAAAUGAAAACUAAGAUGUGAAUCCAUCAUCAUCCGAAACAUAGUAUUGCGUAACAGCUAAUCGGAGUUCUGGUACAGCUCAUGAAUAGACCCAAUUUGUAACCCAACAGUAGGGAAAUAUAAUAAAAGUGACACUUUUUCUUUCUUCAAUUAUAAACGUGCAAAUUCAAAUCACUAGUUACCAUCGAAAUUGCUUAACCAUAAGCAUCAGGAAUAACAGUGAAUAUGAUAAAUAUUCAAAAUCCGUAGAUACACGAAUGAACAGAAAUUUUCAAACGUAGUUUCAUUGUAAAAUCGUGAAACAAGAGACACAGAAAACAAAAAAACGCGAGCCAGAAGCGAGAUGUUUUUACUCUCACUGCUAUUAUCAAAGUCACGAUAAACUAGUGAUAAUAGAUUUUGAGUAACAAGAAAUUUGUCUUUUAUAUGGAAAUUGGAGUUUUGUGGACGAGAGGCACCUAAGUUGGUGGGCGUUGGGUCAUCUGAGAGUCCUUUGAGUAAUUCAUCGAGAUUGAAAAUAUUUUGACUUCGUAGAAGAAAAAGUCUUGAGCCACGAAUUUUGCUCGUACGCUAGUACGUUUUAUGUGAAACAAAAAAAACAAAUCAAUCAGCAAUUAUAUAUUAUAAUUAUAAAAACAAAUCUUAAGGAAAACACAAAAUGAAAAUAGCGUGCGAACGUUUAGGAAUAUUGUCGCUUGUAAGCGUAAUCGCACUGACAUUCAAAGAGAAUCAUUAAUAAUUAAAAAAAAAAAAUAAAAAUAGACACAAGACCCGCUGUAAAUAAAUAUGUCGGAAUUCCAUGAUUUCAUGUGUAAAAUUUAUCAAUAAACACCAAAAUAAGACACA